rnacentral:rRNA from 1 species
GACGAACGCUGGCGGCGUGCUUAACACAUGCAAGUCGAACGGAAAGGCCCUGCUUUUGUGGGGUGCUCGAGUGGCGAACGGGUGAGUAACACGUGAGUAACCUGCCCUUGACUUUGGGAUAACUUCAGGAAACUGGGGCUAAUACCGGAUAGGAGCUCCUGCUGCAUGGUGGGGGUUGGAAAGUUUCGGCGGUUGGGGAUGGAUUCGCGGCUUAUCAGCUUGUUGGUGGGGUAGUGGCUUACCAAGGCUGUGACGGGUAGCCGGCCUGAGAGGGUGACCGGCCACAUUGGGACUGAGAUACGGCCCAGACUCCUACGGGAGGCAGCAGUGGGGAAUAUUGCACAAUGGGCGGAAGCCUGAUGCAGCAACGCCGCGUGCGGGAUGACGGCCUUCGGGUUGUAAACCGCUUUCGCCUGUGACGAAGCGUGAGUGACGGUAAUGGGUAAAGAAGCACCGGCUAACUACGUG